rnacentral:lncRNA from 1 species
GCCACCCGCCACCCGCCUCACUCACUCGCCACCCGCCUCACUCACUCGCCACCCGCCUCACUCACUCGCCAGCAGCGUCGCCCUGUGCUCCGUCGCCCGGGUCCUUAUAGUCACUUCAUCAGGUGUUGAAGAGUCAGUCACUGGGGCCUGAAGUGACUCGACAAGGCCUAAAGUGACUGAACAGGGUCUGAAGUGACUCACGAAGACUCAGAGUGACUCAACAAGACUCAGAGACACUCAUGAAGGCCUAAAGUGACUCAUUAAUAUCUAGAUUGACUCACGAAUACCCAGUGUGACUCAUGAAGGCCUAAAGUGACUCUACAAGACCCAGAGUCACUCAACAAGACUACAGUGACUCAACAAGACUACAGUGACUCGCCAACAGCCACAAGGGCCUCGCCAACCUCUGAGUUAGCCACGAGGACUUCUAAACACCUGUAUCUACCUGUUGGCUGUGACUAAUUGAAAGUUAUUAACACUCACCUGUCUUCUGCCUUCGUGGUGGUGACAGAUGUUGGUCAGUGUUAUCAAAAGGUGUUCUAAGAUUUGAAGAACUCUAAAAGGUGUUCUCACAUCCCAAGAAGAACAUUCAGGUGUUCUCACAUCCCAAGAAGAACAUUCAGGUGUUCUAUUUUCCCAAAAGGAACAUUCACACCUGUUCUAUUAUCCCAAGAAGAACAUUGAACAUCUUCACUACAGGGACGGGUUUAUUCAAGAGACAUGAACGUAGAACAGGAACGAAGAGCAGGUAAUAUUGUGGUUGUGAAUUAGAGACCAUUAGAGACCACUUAAAACCAUUUGAGACCAGAUAGAACUACUCGAGACCUCUUAAAAACCAUUCGAGACCUUAAUAAUCACUAGAGAUCCGAUAGAAACCAUCCGAGACCACUUAAAACCAUCCGAGACCAAAAUAAAAAAUAAAAAUCAAGAACACAGCUGAAAAAAAAACAAUCUGGACUACAUCUAGAAACCAAUUUGAUAACAGCAACAACUUCUAAUUACCAAGAACCAGAUAAAUAGAAACCCCCAGCCAUAGAAACCACUCCGAUAUCACUAAGCUAGCCAGAACGGUCUUUUAACUCGUACAGGCUAUUAGAAAACUCCUAGUGUCAAGAAGUUUUCGGAACUCAACUUAAGAUCCUGAUUUAGAAACCACGAAGAAAACAUCAGCGUGUUUAAUAAGACAUUUAGAAACCCACGAUUUCAGGGAGUUUUUGAAACUCUUAGUUGGACCCAAUUUUAGAGAACUAGAGACCAAACACUUCUCUAAAAAAAAUCCUCAGUGGGAGAAAGAGUCACUGGGUUUUACUGGGUUUUACUUUUAAGAACACGAGGGUUUCUGUGGGUAUUUUGGCACCAUUGGACAUAACUGGCACCAUUGGACAACAACCAACGCAACUGGUACCAUUGGACACCACUGGCACCAUUGGACAACAACCAACGCAACUGGUACCAUUGGACACCACUGGCACCAUUGGACAACAACCAACGCAACUAGUACCAUUAGACACCACUGGCACCAUUGGACAGCUAGCAACACAACUCGCACCAUUGAACAGCUAGCAACACAACUGGCGCCAUUGGACACAACUGACACCAUUGGACAACUAACAUGAGCGUCGGUCGGUUAAAUAACAGGUGACGUCUGUAAACUUCAAGACCAUAAGAAGACCCCAAAGACAUCUUCUAAGACACCUUCAUCACGAUAAAAAGACGCCCUUAGAUAUCUUCAAGGCGAUAAGAAGGCGGCCUAAGAUAUCUUGACAUCUUCAACACGAUACGAAGAGUCCCUAAGAUAUCUUCAACACGAUACGAAGAG